GUAAAAUAUCCCAUUUCUCCAUAAGCUAUCAACCUGUAUUUUUACAAGGUCUCGAGCAAAGUUGGCACCUGAAUUCCCAUUUCCAAGCUCUGUAAGCCAUUGAAAUAUGUGGCAUGACUAGUAAAGCCAAGCAAGUUCAAGAUGAUGACACCAGUAGUUGACUAACACCACACAAGCUAGCCCAACUCAAGGCUCUUGCUUAAGAUGAUAAGAAGAACCAAUAAUUACCUGCAAGGCUAGGCUAGUGGUGAUUAAUUAGCCUUGAAGUUUUGUCUCCCACUUCUCUCUUUUGUUUUUUUCUUUAAAGGGAAAAAAGCAAAUUAACAAAAUGAAGCCUAAAUUAAUUAUUAAUUUGUACAUUUGUAUGAAGUUCUGAAGGUGCAAUGUUAACUAUGGUACAAUAAUAACACAUGACGCUGAAAACAGAUUGGGAAAAAGUCCUAAACUGCUUUGGCAGUAAUAUUUAUGAGAAUUUGGCUUCAAGAAGCUGUAGGCAUGACAGCGUCAUCAUCCAAUAAUGCUUCAAGAUCAAUCAAGUCAUCAAACUCUGCUGUUGCUUCAGAAUUAUUAAUGCGAUCAUACAGAGUCUUAUUCUCCUGGAUCUCAGUAACCGCAUUUAGCAGCCGGCGGUAUUGAUCUCUUGCCUCAGGAUACUGAUGCAUGGAUUUCACCCUUGCAAGGGCUAUCUGUGAUCUUGCUUCUGUUUGCUUUCUGCCUUCUUUAAAGAAAUCAUAGUCAUCCUCCUUUGAUAAUGUAUCCUGUUUACUGGGACCCUCAAUAAGUGCUUCUGAUUUGAAUCCACGCAAACCACUUCGUUUUCGUCUCCAACGCAAGAUAACUUUCUCCACAAUUCCCACAGACCAUACUAUCUUUCUAUAGUUUUUCCUAACCUGGUGGCCUCUUACAUGGGCCUGAAUUUUAACAAUUCGCUGCCGGAUUAUCAAAAAUUCCUUUCUACCCUUCCAACUACGGAACUUGUUUUGAAUCCUUAUUGCAGCAGCAUGCACUGGCUCAUCUUGUUGUCCAGGCUUGAGUGCCUUAAACGCAACAGGUGAAAGAGCACGCUCAUGUGACAUCCAACUUUAUCAUCACCAAACUCUUUUAACAGCUUCGUUUGAAAUGACUGCACCCUGAAGACUUGGUGAAUAUGAACAGCAGCUUGAGUAGCAUUACAGAUAACAGCUAACGAGUCCUUUAGAGAAAGUCCAUGUGGUACGUCCCCAUCACCAGUUGCAGACGCACUAUGCUCUGGAACUAUCUGCACUGCUCUUGCCCCAGAAAUUCCUGCAACAUCACUAUACUGCUUAUCCAUAGUAAGAGAAGAAAGCUGAGCACUUAAUGCAGAUUCUGCGAGAUAACCAGCUAUUCCUUUGUGUCCAUUAGCAGAAGCUAGGUCAGCAGCUGUUCGGCUUGUAGGAUACUUGGGAGUUGGAUUUGUUAAUGCUCCAGGAGCUGCACCAAGAAAGACAAGGGAAACAACCGUGUGCUCUCUGAUAUUUAAGCCAAAACAACAGAACAAGAAAUGCACAAAUUGAAUGAGUAUUUGUAUAGGGUAAUUGCAGAAAAAAUUCUGAGGACUACCACUUUGCUAAAGUAGUUUGAUCCCUAGAUGUAAAAUUAAAACAUGAUGUUAACAAACGUGCACAAAUUCACACAAAUACAUUUUCCUUUCCCUUUUAUCGCUUCUGUAAACCAGAUUAUAACCUUCAAAUUUGCUAUAUAUAAGUGUGUCUUUUCAACAUGGUUUUAAUGUUUAAUAUCAUGAGAAAACAAAAUCCCCUGUCCACUAUGAGGUUUGUUACCAAACAUUUUUCCAAAGCAGUAUCUUUUGGCAUUCUUCUUGGUUUGGUUUGCAGCAUCCUCUUUUCCAUUCAUCAAAUAUUUUAUAUGCUAAUACAACAUCAUAAUCAAUGCUGAACCCCAGCCUGCAAUAUGAAUGUUUUGUGCAGUAAUCUAAGACAAUAAGAAAGGAUCAUAAUUCAAAACAACAUUUUCAUUUUGCUUACCUGCCACAAGAUGCUGCCCAAUGAAGUGCAGUCCAUCCAUUCACGUCAUGGAAAUUGAUACUUACACCUGCAAUUGUUGUGGGUUCAAGGAGCUGCCAAAUAUAGCACUCCUAGACCACCUUUGUCUAACACACUUGAGCCUUUUCCACCUUCAGCUGCCUUACGCAAAAGCCAAACAUGUAACCUGUCUUUGAGCAGCUUUUAAAGAAGUUCCUCCUUUACUUUAUCUGAGGAAACUCCUGCUUCUGAAGUAAGCUUUAACAUUUGUUCCCAUUCUUCAUUAUCCUCUUUAAGAAGUGAACUAAUUUUAUUGUUCAAUUGAGUAUUUUCGACUAUUUUUCUGGUGUUGCAUUCUGGAAGGGACAAUAAUUUUCCAAACCGCACGUGAAGAUCUACACUAAUAUUGCUGAGUCGGUAUUCAAAUUCAUGCACUUUGCUACAAGCUACUCUUUCUGAAAAAGUAACAUAAAAAGGAACCAUGCCAGCCUUGUUUAAAGAGAGUCUGGCAACGAAGAAGACCAUCAGCUAUAACCUCUGCUCGAACUUCGAUUUCCCAAACACACAUGACCAUUUACAAUUUUCUGCUGCUUCACCACUCUUCAAGAAUCUUCCAGUGAUAAGAACCUGCAUAAAUUACAGAAUGAAUGAUAAAAGAAAAUUCUAAAAUGAGAAACAGAGAAGUUAUAUAUUAUCAUCAGCCAGAGAUUACAGCAUAGUUUAUCCCUCCUCAAUCCUGUCUAUGGGAAAAGACUGACAACCAGUACCUUAAUCUCAGAGCCUACAUAUGCCCAGUUAGGUGAAAUAUCAAUGAUGCUAAAGAGUUGAUCCUGGGAGAGGGAAGGACCUAGCACAUAGGUAUCCAAGUGCACUUUAGAAGGGACUUUGGGAUCAUCGAUCCCAUUUUCAUUUUCAACCACAUCCCAGUUGGGCCCAGAAAUGGACUGCACUUGUGACUCAUUUACAUCACCAAAUUCCUUACUCAUCCAUUGGUUGAAACUAUCAAACUUCUUUAGACCUUCUUCUGAUAGAGAAUAAUCUAAUAAAUGCUGCUUCACAGCAGCAGAGUAGACAGAUUUUCCUUCCAUGGUUAUACUUUGCUUUGUAUUGGAAUACUGUAUCUGAAGUUCUGAACAUCAUUUUGUACAGGAUGACCACUUCCCUGCCACACUUUCUGGAUUGGCAUAUGACUUGCAAACUCCUCCCUUUUACCAAAGCUGUUGGUAAGAAGCUGCUUCAGUAUUUCAUCUUCUUGUUUAGAAACAAUUCCUGCACUAUCGGGUUGUGAUGAAAAUGGGCGAUGGAAAGAUGCAGAUUCAGUUCCAUGAGUACAAUUUUCUAAGUUGUCCUCCCAAGAGGGUAAUUCAUAAUGUUCCUGUGGCUGAUAUGCUAACCCAGCACCCUUAUUGUCUUCAGCUUUAUCAGCUUGGGCCAGUGAGAUAAAGUCUCUCCCAGAAACAAUUGACAACGUCCCUUGAUAACUACUUGAAAAUGACACAGGAUCAUGACAAUUGAGCAGGCAAGCAUCAAUCUUUGCUCCUGCAGGCUGCUGUACCUCAAGAAAAGAGUGAAAUCCCGAACUUUCUGGUUGCUUAUAUACUGCAUUAAAUAUCAUAAUCCCUUGUAAAAGUAAGGGGGAAAAACAAGCCAUUCACCAUGAUUGGAGUUAAUACAUCCUUCAAACAAAAUACAUUAGAAAUUUCUUAUAUUAGAAACUGACACACAUAAAAUGUAUGUACAAGCACCUGAUUCAGCAUCCUCAUAUUCUGAUGCCUAAGCACUAUUCAUGCUUAUUAUAUCCAUAGUUUGCGAAGGCACCUGGUAGUUAUCACGAUGAAAAUUGGAAAAAACAGAAGUUUCCACCUCAGAAUCAGGUUAGUGUCUUCAAUCUCUUGGGGUUGGGGAUAUGGAAUGGCGUCUUCAUACUUCUUAACACAGUUAAAUUUUGCCCUGUUGCCCUGAUGAAAUAUUUAAAUCCAAAGCAGUUCAAAGUUCAAACUCAACAUGUGAAGAAGAUUAUCCUAAAUAAAUAAUUAUCAUAUCAAAGUUACAAGAAACAGAUACAGAUCCUAUAUCCUAAACUUUGCAACAUUUUUUUUCAUUGCAUUUCAUUAUUUUAGUUUUAUCAAUUUAAAAUUGGUCAUAAUUAUAUUGGAGUAACUUAUGCAGACAUGGAAUUUAAUUUGCAUGCUGUCAUGUAGGCCUAGCCCUGGUCCAGUUUGGACCUGGAACCGGCCCAGAGCUCAAGGGUCCAAACUGGAACAUUUUCCCUCUCCUCUUGAACAGGACCAUAACCAGGCUGGUCCAGUUCAAACCAACAUUUUUUCUUUAAAAAAAAAA
rnacentral:misc_RNA from 1 species